rnacentral:ncRNA from 2 species
UGAUUCUAAAUUUAAAAUGAUGUAAAACAAUUUGACGAAAUAGGGAAUCCCGUGCUUGUCCAUCGACUUCGUAUAGUCGUUCAGGAUGAAAUUCGGGAACAGUCCCGCUACUGUGAUGGGUAUGUUCCAGUAUAUCGGAACGAGGAAUUUUUUGUGCCACUGGUCGCCAAGGCGAAUCGGGAAGGUGAAAUUCCUAUAAACCUAAGUCAGGAAACCUAUUCGUUAUUAAUCCCAUUU